GACGAACGCUGGCGGCAUGCCUAAUACAUGCAAGUCGAGCGGAGUUGAUGGAAAGCUUGCUUUCCUGAUACUUAGCGGCGGACGGGUGAGUAACACGUAGGCAACCUGCCCUCAAGCUUGGGACAACUACCGGAAACGGUAGCUAAUACCGAAUACUUGUUUUCUUCGCCUGAAGAGAACUGGAAAGACGGAGCAAUCUGUCACUUGGGGAUGGGCCUGCGGCGCAUUAGCUAGUUGGUGAGGUAACGGCUCACCAAGGCGACGAUGCGUAGCCGACCUGAGAGGGUGAUCGGCCACACUGGGACUGAGACACGGCCCAGACUCCUACGGGAGGCAGCAGUAGGGAAUCUUCCGCAAUGGGCGAAAGCCUGACGGAGCAAUGCCGCGUGAGUGAUGAAGGUUUUCGGAUCGUAAAGCUCUGUUGCCAGGGAAGAACGCUUGGGAGAGUAACUGCUCCCAAGGUGACGGUACCUGAGAAGAAAGCCCCGGCUAACUACGUGCCAGCAGCCGCAGUAA
rnacentral:rRNA from 1 species